rnacentral:rRNA from 1 species
CUCUUGAGAGCGGCGGACGGGUGAGUAAUGCCUAGGAAUCUGCCUGGUAGUGGGGGAUAACGUUCGGAAACGGACGCUAAUACCGCAUACGUCCUACGGGAGAAAGCAGGGGACCUUCGGGCCUUGCGCUAUCAGAUGAGCCUAGGUCGGAUUAGCUAGUUGGUGGGGUAAUGGCUCACCAAGGCGACGAUCCGUAACUGGUCUGAGAGGAUGAUCAGUCACACUGGAACUGAGACACGGUCCAGACUCCUACGGGGGGGG